rnacentral:rRNA from 1 species
GACAGAGGGUGCAAACGUUGUUCGGAAUUACUGGGCGUAAGCGUGUGUAGGCGGUCCUCUAAGUCGGAUGUGAAGCCCUGGCUCAACCUGGGAAUGGCAUUGGAUACUGGCGGCUAGAGUGCGGUAGAGGGCAGUGGAAUCCGGUGUAGCAGUGAAUGCGUAGAGAUCGGAGACAUCUGUGCGAGCGACUGCUGACAGCACUGACACUGAGCACGAAGCGUGGAGCAAC